AACCCCAUGUUGUAUUAUAUGUGGCUAUUUCUGCUCCAUGGUUAACUAAAUAGCCGCAGUACUCUGACUGUGCAAAGGUAGCAUAAUCAUUUGGCCUCUAAUUAAGGUCUGGCAUGAAAGAAACUAUGGGUGGUAGCUGUCUUGAUAUGUUUUGAUGAAUUUAGUGUUCAAGUGCAAAUACUUGUAAAUAUAAAAUAGACGAGAAGACCCUAGAAGCUUAGAUAUAUUUUUGUUGGGGCGACAGGAUUACAGUAAACUAAUUCUAUGUGACAUGAUUAUUAAAAUAAGUUAAAGCUACUCUAGGGAUAACAGCAUAAUAUUUUAAAGUUUGUGACCUCGAUGUUGGACUAGGUAUGUUACCCCUUAGAAAGGGGAGUCAUAAGCUCUGUUCGAGCUAUUAUACCUACAU
rnacentral:rRNA from 1 species